AACGUACGCUGGCGGCACGCCUAACACAUGCAAGUCGAACGAAGUAGCAAUACUUAGUGGCAGACGGGUGAGUAACAUGUAGGUAUCUGCCCUUUGGCCUGGAAUAACACGAGGAAACUUGUGCUAAUACCGGAUAAGUCUUUACGGAGAAAGCUUUAUGCACCAUUGGAUGAGCCUGCACUUGAUUAGUUUGUUGGUGGGGUAAUGGCCUACCAAGACUGUGAUCAAUAGCUGAUUUGAGAGGAUGAUCAGCCACAUUGGGACUGAGACACGGCCCAAACUCCUACGGGAGGCAGCAGUGGGGAAUCUUGCACAAUGGAGGAAACUCUGAUGCAGCGAUGCCGCGUGAGUGAAGAAGGCCCUUGGGUUGUAAAGCUCUUUCGUCGGGGAAGAAAAUGACUGUACCCGAAUAAGAAGGUCCGGCUAACUUCGUGCCAGCAGCCGCGGUAAUACGAAGGGACCUAGCGUAGUUCGGAAUUACUGGGCUUAAAGAGUUCGUAGGUGGUUGAAAAAGUUAGUGGUGAAAUCCCAGAGCUUAACUCUGGAACUGCCAUUAAAACUUUUCAGCUAGAGUAUGAUAGAGGAAAGCAGAAUUUCUAGUGUAGAGGUGAAAUUCGUAGAUAUUAGAAAGAAUACCAAUUGCGAAGGCAGCUUUCUGGAUCAUUACUGACACUGAGGAACGAAAGCAUGGGUAGCGAAGAGGAUUAGAUACCCUCGUAGUCCAUGCCGUAAACGAUGUGUGUUAGACGUUGGAAAUUUAUUUUCAGUGUCGCAGGGAAACCGAUAAACACACCGCCUGGGGAGUACGACCGCAAGGUUAAAACUCAAAUGAAUUGACGGGGACCCGCACAAGUAGUGGAGCAUGUGGUUUAAUUCGAAGAUACGCGCAGAACCUUACCAACACUUGACAUGUUCGUCGCGACUCUAAGAGAUUAGAGUUUUCGGUUCGGCCGGACGAAACACAGGUGCUGCAUGGCUGUCGUCAGCUCGUGUCGUGAGAUGUUGGGUUAAGUCCCGCAACGAGCGCAACCCUCACUUUUAGUUGCCAUCAUUAAGUUGGGCACUCUGAAAGAACUGCCAGUGAUAAGCUGGAGGAAGGUGGGGAUGACGUCAAGUCCUCAUGGCCCUUACGUGUUGGGCUACACACGUGCUACAAUGGUAUCUACAACAGGAAGCAAGACUGCGAAGUUAAGCAAAUCCCUAAAAGAUACCUCAGUUCGGAUUGCACUCUGCAACUCGAGUGCAUGAAGCUGGAAUUACUAGUAAUCGUGGAUCAGCGCGCCACGGUGAAUGCGUUCCCGGGUCU
rnacentral:rRNA from 1 species